rnacentral:rRNA from 1 species
UAGGGAAUCUUCGGCAAUGGGGGGAACCCUGACCGAGCAACGCCGCGUGAGUGAAGAAGGUUUUCGGAUCGUAAAGCUCUGUUGUUAAGGAAGAACGAGUGUGAGAAUGGAAAGUUCAUACUGUGACGGUACUUAACCAGAAAGGGACGGCUAACUACGUGCCAGCAGCCGCGGUAAUACGUAGGUCCCGAGCGUUGUCCGGAUUUAUUGGGCGUAAAGCGAGCGCAGGCGGUUAGAAAAGUCUGAAGUGAAAGGCAGUGGCUCAACCAUUGUAGGCUUUGGAAACUGUUUAACUUGAGUGCAGAAGGGGAGAGUGGAAUUCCAUGUGUAGCGGUGAAAUGCGUAGAUAUAUGGAGGAACACCAGUGGCGAAGGCGGCUCUCUGGUCUGUAACUGACGCUGAGGCUCGAAAGCGUGGGGAGCGAACAGG